rnacentral:lncRNA from 12 species
AUGUCAACUCUUCUGAGAAGCCCCUCCAGUGAAAGAGUGAAAGAGAAGCUCCUUUAUUUGUUUAUACAGUCUAACCUGGGAUCCCUGGGUGGCGCAGCGGUUUGGCGCCUGCCUUUGGCCCAGGGCGCGAUCCUGGAGACCCGGGAUCGAAUCCCACGUCAGGCUUCCGGUGCAUGGAGCCUGCUUCUCCCUCUGCCUGUGUCUCUGCGCCUGUCUCUCUCUCUCUGUGACUAUCAUAAAUAAAUAAAAAUUAAAAAAAAUUAUAAAAAAAAAUUAUACAGUUUAACCUACUAAAUGUGUAUUUGCAUAUAUACAUAGAUACAUAUGUGUGUGUAUAUAUAUAUAUAAUGUAGAUAGAUUUAUAAAUAUAUACACAUACAUAUUUCACCUGUGUUAGAAUUAAACACACAUAAUGCUGUUUAACAAAUUCAUUGGUUAAUAUCUGAUUUUCUUAAUACAAUGACCAUCUAUGAACUUUUGACUGUCAAUUACACCAUGAAAUAUGGCUUUAUUAUUGAUACACAUCAUCAUCACAGGUAGCUAUUAUAUGAUUAUAAUGUCCUAAGUUAUAAUUCAUCUCUGAAUUCC